rnacentral:rRNA from 1 species
AUUGAACGCUGGCGGAAUGCUUUACACAUGCAAGUCGAACGGCAGCACGGGGGCAACCCUGGUGGCGAGUGGCGAACGGGUGAGUAAUACAUCGGAACGUGCCCAGUCGUGGGGGAUAACGUAGCGAAAGUUACGCUAAUACCGAAUACGAUCUACGGAUGAAAGCGGGGGACCGUAAGGGCUCGCGCGAUUGGAGCGGACGAUGUCAGAUUAGGUAGUUGGUGAGGUAAAGGCUCACCAAGCCGACGAUCUGUAGCUGGUCUGAGAGGACGACCAGCCACACUGGGACUGAGACACGGCCCAGACUCCUACGGGAGGCAGCAGUGGGGAAUUUUGGACAAUGGGCGCAAGCCUGAUCCAGCCAUUCCGCGUGCAGGACGAAGGCCUUCGGGUUGUAAACUGCUUUUGUACGGAACGAAAAGGCUCUGGUUAAUACCUGGGGCUCAUGACGGUACCGUAAGAAUAAGCACCGGCUAACUACGUGCCAGCCGCCGCCGUAA